UUUGACUUUAAAGUCCUUUUCCCUUUCUCCUCUGACUGACUUGGGUGUCCAUUAAUUACUAAAGACAAACUACAUGGAAACAAUAUGCAGCCGCUCCAGGGUCUUUGGAUGUGUGGAGCACCAUGG